CCUACGGGUGGCAGCAGUGAGGAAUAUUGGUCAAUGGACGAGAGUCUGAACCAGCCAAGUAGCGUGAAGGAUGACUGCCCUAUGGGUUGUAAACUUCUUUUAUAUGGGAAUAAAAUGUUCCACGUGUGGGAUUUUGUAUGUACCAUAUGAAUAAGGAUCGGCUAACUCCGUGCCAGCAGCCGCGGUAAUACGGAGGAUCCGAGCGUUAUCCGGAUUUAUUGGGUUUAAAGGGAGCGUAGGUGGAUUGUUAAGUCAGUUGUGAAAGUUUGCGGCUCAACCGGAAAAUUGCAGUUGAAACUGGCAGGCUUGAGUACAGUAGAGGUGGGCGGAAUUCGUGGUGUAGCGGUGAAAUGCUUAGAUAGCACGAAGAACGCCGAUUGCGAAGGCAGCUCACUGGACUGCAACUGACACUGAGGCUCGAAAGUGUGGGUAUCAAACAGGAUUAGAUACCCCGGUAGUC
rnacentral:rRNA from 1 species